rnacentral:rRNA from 1 species
UGCCUUAGUAGCGGCGAGUGAAGCGGCAAAAGCUCAAAUUUGAAAUCUGGCGCCUUCGGUGUCCGUAGUUGUAAUUUGAAGAUUGUAACCUUGGGGUUGGCUCUUGUCUAUGUUUCUUGGAACAGGACGUCACAGAGGGUGAGAAUCCCGUGCGAUGAGAUGCCCAAUUCUAUGUAAGGUGCUUUCGAAGAGUCGAGUUGUUUGGGAAUGCAGCUCUAAGUGGGUGGUAAAUUCCAUCUAAAGCUAAAUAUUGGCGAGAGACCGAUAGCGAACAAGUACAGUGAUGGAAAGAUGAAAAGAACUUUGAAAAGAGAGUGAAAAAGUACGUGAAAUUGUUGAAAGGGAAGGGUUUGAGAUCAGACUCGAUAUUUUGUGAGCCUUGCCUUCGUGGCGGGGUGACCCGCAGCUUAUCGGGCCAGCAUCGGUUUGGGCGGUAGGAUAAUGGCGUAGGAAUGUGACUUUACUUCGGUGAAGUGUUAUAGCCUGCGUUGAUGCUGCCUGCCUAGACCGAGGACUGCGAUU